rnacentral:rRNA from 1 species
CCCUUAGAUGGCCUGGGCUGCACGCGGGCUACAAUGGUAUAUUCAGCGUGAGUUGUUUACCGAAAGGUAGAUCAAAUCUUCAAAUUAUACCGUACUUGGGAUUGGACAUUGCAAUUGUUGUCCAUGAACGAGGAAUUCCUAGUAAGUGCAUGUCAAUAGCGUGCGCUGAUUACGUCCCUGCCCUUUGUACACACCGCCCGUCGCUCCUACCGAUUGGGUGCUGGGGUGAACAUUGUGGAGAUUUGAGCUUCGGCUUGGUCAAAGCAAUGUGAAUCUUGCCGCCUAGAGGAAGGAGAAGUCGUAACA